rnacentral:rRNA from 1 species
GACGAACGCUGGCGGCGUGCUUAACACAUGCAAGUCGAACGGAAAGGCCCUGCUUUUGUGGGGUGCUCGAGUGGCGAACGGGUGAGUAACACGUGAGUAACCUGCCCUUGACUUUGGGAUAACUUCAGGAAACUGGGGCUAAUACCGGAUAGGAGCUCCUGCUGCAUGGUGGGGGUUGGAAAGUUUCUGCGGUUGGGGAUGGACUCGCGGCUUAUCAGCUUGUUGGUGGGGUAGUGGCUUACCAAGGCUUUGACGGGUAGCCGGCCUGAGAGGGUGACCGGCCACAUUGGGACUGAGAUACGGCCCAGACUCCUACGGGAGGCAGCAGUGGGGAAUAUUGCACAAUGGGCGGAAGCCUGAUGCAGCAACGCCGCGUGCGGGAUGACGGCCUUCAGGUUGUAAACCGCUUUCGCCUGUGACGAAGCGUGAGUGACGGUAAUGGGUAAAGAAGCACCGGCUAACUACGUG